rnacentral:lncRNA from 1 species
AAUUAUUAUAAAAUAAAAAAUAAAUUAAAAACUAUGAUAGUUUUAAAAAAAAUUUGUUAGUUUAAAAGAAAGAAAAAAAAAAAGAUGUAUUUUAAUUUUUUAUUGAAAAAAUAAUUUAGUGAUUAAAAAAUAUGCUCAAAUUUAGAGAUUUUUUGUUCAACAUAUGUGGGUCUCACACCUUUGAUAAGAACAAAGUGAUAUUUUUGAGAGAAAAAAAAAUAGUAUCAAGUGAAAUCUCAACUGUUGAAUUAAUUUAAAUGAAUUUAAUUAUAAAUAAAUUAUGUUUUAUAUUAUAGAUUAUUUCAUAUUCAAUUUGAAUGACUGAAAUGGCCUCACUCCAGACAUUCUCUCUGCCACUUUCUUUUUAGCAUCAUGCCGCCGCCCCCUUUCCAUUGUUCUCUUUUCACUCCCUCAUUCUCUCUCUUCUUUUUUUUUUAUUAACUUUUUAAAAAAAACAAAACAAAAAAAACAUCUUAGUAAUCCACUCCAUUACUUUUUUUUCUUUCUUUUUCUAUUAACUUACUGAGAAAUGCUAUGGGACCCCAUAACUGCACCCCAAAUGUACACCUGAUGAGGUGUCGCAUUGGGGUUGGCUGGGUGUGGGGUCCACCCAUGCUUUUCACCCCCUAAUCGCCAAGCCCAAUGCGACACCUCAUAGGUGUGCAUUGGGGUGCAAGUAUGGGGGUACCUAGCAUUACCAUUAACUUAAUAUAUGCAAUUCUAUAUCUUUCUCAAACUAAAGCCAUAAAACGCUUUAAUAAAAUAAUUAGGAAACAAUAAUUCUAUGACAUUAUUUUAAAUAGCACCAUCGAAGUAAACAACAGCUACCGAAAAACAAAAAAUAUAGGGCUGUAAAAAAUGAACUGAAUAAUAAUUUUUUCGGGGGGAGGGGGGGGGGGGGGGGGGUGUUUGGGGAAUUGUUUGUGUGGUUGUUUUUUUGUUUGUUUUUUAUAUUUUUUUUUUUUGUUUCUAUAGGCUCCGGUUGGUACCAUCUUUUCGGUGUCUUUUUCAGCUUAUAGUAAAAAAGUUAGACAUAGAAUUUUUUUGUUUAUUUGUAGUGAAGGUAGGGUCCACAAGCAAAAAACCAAGCGCUCCCCCCACCCCUCACCUCUUAAUUGUUUCUACCCCCCCACCACCACACAGUACCAAGGAGCCAAAUGCAUUAACUAUUAUUACACUGCUUGGGUGUGGGAGAACCGCGCUACCCCCUGUAGGGCGUGCCCAAGGCAGUUUUUUGUAAAUAAUUAAUGUUGCUAAUAUUUAUGCUUUUGAAUAAUUUUUAGUUUUAUAGUUUAGAUUAAUUUUUUAAUUUUUAUGGUUUUUAUCCAUGUAUAAUCAGUAAAUAUACUUGAGCGACGAAAACCGUGAAACCGAAUAGAACCAAACCGUUAUUCUCAUGAUUUGGUUUGGUCCUAUAAUUCUCAUGAUUUAGUUCUGUUUAAAAAAGCCUAAACCGUUACUCACGAUUUGAUUUACUGUUUUUUUCUAAACUGAACUAAACAAACUGUGACAGCGCCAUAUUUAAGCUAUGAAGUUGCAAUAUUUUAGAAAUUUUACAGUGAAGAAUUUAACCUAUAAAUGCAAAAGAUUAUCCAAAAAUUACCAUAAACAACUCAUAAGAAUUACAAUAACUAUCAACUUAGUAUAUAUGACGUGGGACUAAGAAUGAAUCCCAUGCGCGUCCAUAUGUGUUUUUGGUACUUUUUGAGUACUUUUUUUGGUUAUCCAACUUUUUUGUAAUUUUUAUGAUUAAUAAAGAGUACACUAAGCAAUACAAUUUGGGGAUAGAGAGAGGAGAGAUAGAGAGAGAUGUGACGGAUGACAUGAUGAAAAUGACUAACGCGGAGAAAGAAGGGAGGGUAAUUCGUCUUUUAUUUCUAGAUUCCAUGGCAAUGAUAAAAGCCCUAAUUUUUGAUAUUUGGAUCCAUGCGGCACUGACUCACAUACAACUACCUCUUCCAUUUUAUAAAUGUAUUACGUUUUUUAUUUUUAAAUUACUACUAUAUUUCUCUCUAUAGCACAUUUUUGUGCAAAAAUAAUAAAUUUAUCCUUUGAAUAGGGCUCCAUUUUUUUCCUCCAUAUACCCAUUAAAUAAAUUAAUAUUCUUUUUUUUCAAAACAUCAUUGGUUGUUAACUAAAUUAUUUUAAUUUUUAAUUAAUAAAUAUUUUUUAAAAAGUAAUUUAAUCUUAAAUAGUUUUUAUUUUUUAAGUCUAAUGAAAAUGUACUUAAAAAUAUACAUUGUUAUCAAUAAAAUAUUUUAAAAAAUAAUCUAAAUAUUUUACUUUUUAAGUUCUUCUAAUCUAAAUAUAUACUUAAAAAAUACACUUUGUCAUCAGUUUUCUUUUUUAAAAAAGAGCGAAAUUUUAUUUAUAUUGAGAAACUAAAUUUAAAACCCUAAAUUAAUGACAAUCUUGUUAUUUUUACGCAAAAACUAGCUCCAUACAAAAAUAAGAAAAUCUUGAUAUUAAAUUCAAAAAUAAGAGAAGUCAGUGUUAUUUU